GAAAUGGGACACUUGAUGGAUGACAAAACAAAUCCAAGAGAAUUCUUUCACAAACCUGCAGAUCAAUUGAAACAGUACUUUCAUCAAAGAAUAUUCAAAAUGAAGUAGAAAUAUAAGUAAUGUUUUUAAUAUUAAAAGUUUAAUACAGACAGGUUUGGAAGCAAAUUAACUUUUUCUCUCCGUAAUUAUUUUUCCACGUUUUGAAGGAAUUCUUCAUUUGGCUCAUUACUAUUUCACUACCCUGUUAUGAUUGGGCUUCAAAAGCUUUGUUGUUUGUUAUCAAAAAAUGUUGUAUUUGGUAUAGAAUUAAAUGGGAAUGCAUGCUUUUUUAUAUAAUUCAAAGUCAAAUUAAAAAAAAUUAAUCAUUAAUUAAAUUUAAUGAUGUCAAAAUCAACGAUGGUAUCAUCGAUUAGGAGAGAAAGAGUUAAAUUAUUUCUGAUUUUGUCAAUAAAAUGUCUGUUUAUAGGAAAGUCUGUGUGUGUUUGUAUUCACUUCAGCCAUAGGAUAAUAAACUGAGGGAACACUGGAGAAGUUCAAAUAGAAUACAGCAUUUCAAUGCUAGUUUAGGAUUCAUUUUUAAUGAGGUUUAAAAAAAAAAGUAUGAAUGUAAACUAUUGUUCAUAAUAUUGUUGUGUUACAGGUAUUACCCUAUCCUAAGUCACAACUAAUACAUUCCAGCUGUAGAUGCUGUAUCAAAAAUGAUCUAUUGAUAUAUAAAUUUACCUUGGUACUGAAGAAAGUUCUGGAAUGUGACACUGUAGAUGGAAAACCCUUGGGCACCUGUCACAGCACAAAACAUCUCCACCAUUGUGGCAGCAAGCACAGUAAUCAUCAUUAGGAUCUCCCUGGUUGUCUGCCUGUGACAAGGAGAAACCUGGCAUCAUGUUACCACCUUGCCAGGUAUCCCUCAGCUCUUGGUCUGUCGGAGAAUGUGGCGCUAUACAAACAUACAAUUACAGUGUCAAUAUUUUUUCGCAAAAAUAAAAAAUAAAAA